UACGUAGGGGGCUAGCGUUGUCCGGAAUCAUUGGGCGUAAAGAGCGUGUAGGCGGCCAGAUAAGUCCGCUGUGAAAACUCGAGGCUCAACUUCGAGCUGUCGGUGGAAACUUUCUGGCUAGAGUCCGGAAGAGGAGAAUGGAAUUCCUGGUGUAGCGGUGAAAUGCGCAGAUAUCAGGAAGAACACCCGUGGCGAAGGCGGUUCUCUGGGACGGGACUGACGCUGAGACGCGAAAGCGUGGGGAGCGAACAGG
rnacentral:rRNA from 1 species